CGACAUGUGUGUAUCCGGAUGUUGGCAUGAAAGAAGGAAGAAACUGGUUUAGUUGCUCAAUUCCUGCAAGUUUCAGGUCUAUCAAGGCAUAUUCAACAGAAUAAAUUCCUCUAUUGAACUUCUUCACAUAUGAGAAACUUAAUCGGAAGUUCUGAAACAAUCACAAAAGCGAGCGCACUUCGACAUUGCAGAAGUCAGAAGAUCUGCUCUCCAAACCUACAGCGCAUCCUCCAGACUGACGCACACGUGCUCCCGAAUGUCAAGCGGCCAAAAUACCGGCGGACAAAUUGGCAUCUCAUCGACUAUACUACUAUGUUCAGCACACGUCGCCUUAAUUUCCCUGAUUGGCAGAUUGUGACAGAAUCCAAGCGCCCCUGAAUAAUUUACACCCCCGAGGUGAAGUGCAGCUUCCUCCGUUGCGGCAGGGGUUUCCAGUGCAUUCGUUGACCUCGAUCUCACAGCUGGCUCCUGAGAAUCCUGGCCGACAGGAACAGGUGUAGCUGCCCUGGCCCGUGUUACUACAAGUGGCUCCAUUCAGACAGGGCUUAUGAUGUGUGCAGUAGUUCAGAUCUGUAACAGAGGCGGACAUAUGUUGAGCACAUGUGGAUUAAUCCGACAGAAAGCAGAGACACAUGGCUGGGCUGCAGCUGGACAGCUGUUGCUCGCUCUUUCUUUGUUAAGAGCCCACCCCAGCCUUCCUGGCAGUUGCAUUGCCAUGGCUGUUGGCAGGUACCGUGAAGGCAUCCUGGGUAGCGUAUACACUCAUCACAGUAGCGCCCUUUAAAGCCCACUCUGCACCUGAUGCACAGGUUUCUCACAGAAUCCAUGCUCCUCGUCGCACCCUGGCAGGCAGAUAGCUGUAAAUGACG
rnacentral:lncRNA from 1 species